GCGCCCGUAGCUCAGUCGGUAGAGCGGUGGAGCGGUGAUCCGCAGUCCCGGGUUUAAGUCCCGGCGGGCGCU